rnacentral:rRNA from 1 species
UUGGCUUAGAAGCAGCCAUCAUUUAAAGAAAGCGUAAUAGCUCACUGGUCGAGUCGGCCUGCGCGGAAGAUGUAACGGGGCUAAACCAUGCACCGAAGCUGCGGCAGCGACACUAUGUGUUGUUGGGUAGGGGAGCGUUCUGUAAGCCGUUGAAGGUGGCCUGUGAGGGUUGCUGGAGGUAUCAGAAGUGCGAAUGCUGACAUAAGUAACGAUAAUGCGGGUGAAAAACCCGCACGCCGGAAGACCAAGGGUUCCUGUCCAACGUUAAUCGGGGCAGGGUGAGUCGACCCCUAAGGCGAGGCCGAAAGGCGUAGUCGAUGGGAAACAGGUUAAUAUUCCUGUACUUGGUGUUACUGCGAAGGGGGGACGGAGAAGGCUAUGUCGGCCGGGCGACGGUUGUCCCGGUUUAAGCAUGUAGGCGGAGGUUCCAGGUAAAUCCGGUACCUUUUAACGCUGAGGUGUGAUGACGAGGCACUACGGUGCUGAAGUGACAAAUGCCCUGCUUCCAGGAAAAGCCUCUAAGCAUCAGGUAACACGAAAUCGUACCCCAAACCGACACAGGUGGUCAGGUAGAGAAUACCAAGGCGCUUGAGAGAACUCGGGUGAAGGAACUAGGCAAAAUGGUGCCGUAACUUCGGGAGAAGGCAC